rnacentral:rRNA from 1 species
AAAUUGAAGAGUUUGAUCAUGGCUCAGAUUGAACGCUGGCGGCAGGCCUAACACAUGCAAGUCGAACGGUAACAGGAAACAGCUUGCUGUUUCGCUGACGAGUGGCGGACGGGUGAGUAAUGUCUGGGAAACUGCCUGAUGGAGGGGGAUAACUACUGGAAACGGUAGCUAAUACCGCAUAACGUCGCAAGACCAAAGAGGGGGACCCUCGGGCCUCUUGCCAUCGGAUGUGCCCAGAUGGGAUUAGCUUGUUGGUGGGGUAACGGCUCACCAAGGCGACGAUCCCUAGCUGGUCUGAGAGGAUGACCAGCCACACUGGAACUGAGACACGGUCCAGACUCCUACGGGAGGCAGCAGUGGGGAAU